UAGGGAAUCUUCGGCAAUGGGGGGAACCCUGACCGAGCAACGCCGCGUGAGUGAAGAAGGUUUUCGGAUCGUAAAGCUCUGUUGUUAAGGAAGAACGAGUGUGAGAAUGGAAAGUUCAUGCUGUGACGGUACUUAACCAGAAAGGGACGGCUAACUACGUGCCAGCAGCCGCGGUAAUACGUAGGUCCCGAGCGUUGUCCGGAUUUAUUGGGCGUAAAGCGAGCGCAGGCGGGUAGAAAAGUCUGAAGUGAAAGGCAGUGGCUCAACCAUUGUAGGCUUUGGAAACUGUUUAACGUGAGGGCAGAAGGGGAGAGUGGAAUUCCAUGUGUAACGGUAAAAUGCGUAGAUAUAUGGAGGAACACCGGUGGCGAAAGCGGCUAUCUGGUCUGUAACUGACGCUGAGGCUCGAAAGCGUGGGGAGCGAACAGG
rnacentral:rRNA from 1 species